rnacentral:sRNA from 1 species
GCUCGGGGUCGUCUGAGCAUUCAUUCUCUCCCUAUGUCCAUUUCCCAUGAAAUGGCAGCUGCAGUAGCUUGACCCACUGAAAAAAGUGCUUAUUAGCUAUGACCACUGGUUUAAAAAAAAUACAGAAAAAACAGGAUGACAAAACAAGAUGUUAAGAUUGAAAGAAAGAAUACAUCAAGGCAACUGAUUUAUAGUAUAAUGUUUUUUAAAAAAAAUGAAAUAUUGAAACACCAGCCAGGUUCUAAUCACCAGACUCCUUAAAAUGCUCUAAUCUGGCAUCUAUUUUAAUCCGUGUAAAUUAGUAUCUCUUGUGCCUUCCUGUUCGACAUGACAGGCAGUAGCAACAGAUGAUUAAGUUUGCAUUUACAUUAAUUAAACCUAAAUAAAUAAACCUAAAUAAAACCUUAAAAUACUUUAAAUUCUAAUUUAAAAUAAUUAAACCUAGAAACAGUAUUAAAAAUAUUGUUCCUCAGAUGUGCUAGCUUAACCUUUUAAAUGCUCAGGUAUAGUACUGCACCAGACAACAUAGAUUAUAUUUUCUUUUUUAGAUAGCACUUUACUAUAUAGCGCAGGCUGAGCUGGAUUCUCUGAGAUGAGCCUCUCAGGUGCAGCAUGAGGAUUCAGAUAUAGAACUCUCCACUACUCCCUUUUCCCCCUCUCUGCCUCCACCCCACUACCACCACUGUCAUGACAUGGAUCAAACUCUGAGCUUUCAAACUCAGGAGUAGAAAAGGAAUCUCCAUCUGAGAUACAUGUCUAUUUUAAUUAUCAUAGGAAGUUCAACUGGCUAGCACCGGGAAAAGAAAAUAGAGUGCAUUGUUUUCAAAUAGCUUCAGGCAAUAAUACCAGUCAAGCAAGGGAACUAUCUAUAUUACAUAUAGUUCUAGGUAAAGAAAGCAAGCAUUGUAUGGGCUGGGAGCACAGUUCAGUCAGGAUAAUGCUAACAAUAUAACACAAACAUGAGAAACUGAGCUCGCAGUGUGAAAAGGUGUGCUUGUAACCCCAGCAUUAAGAAGGAGGAGACAGGAAAUCCUGGGGCUUGCUAGCAAGCCAGUCUAACCUACUUGAGAGCUCCGAGCCAAUGAAAGAAAAAUCUAGUUCUUCCUCAAAUGAGUGGAUGUCUCCUAUGGAAGAACACUUGAAGCUGACCCCUGGCUUUUACAUGUUCCUGUGUACAUGCGCGUAUGCACGCGUGCGCACACACACACACACACACACACACACACACACACACACACUUACUCUAUACUUUUCUUUACUUAUGCUUAUUUUCGUGACACUCCAUUCUCCAAGCAACUCUUCUCUUGGCAUUUCCUGUUGAUAUUCCAAUGGGAAAAAAUAUUUCAAUGUGUUUCCCCUUUAGGAUAGUUUUUGUUUUUUAAAACAGGAAAGUGUCAUUUUAUGUUAAGCAAGAUUCAGUUUAUUUCUAUGAAUAAUUUGUAAAAAUAUCUCAGAAACAAUCUCAACCAUUCCUGGUGUGUGGGGUGGGUAUUAUACUCAGUUGAGACACCUGCAUUUCAAAGGUGUUUUAGACAUAUUAUUCCAUACAAUAAUUUAGAUAUUCUCUGCACAUUCCAGGGAAUGUAAAUAAAUGGAACCUGUUCUGGUUCCUGGAAUUAUGCUCAAGAUUCCACAAGUUGAUGCAUCCACAAAUGAACAAAGAACGUGGAUUUGGUAACCAUAGGGACAAAUGUGACACAUUGCAGUGAGUAUAUACUAACUAAUAAAUAUUUGGAGCAUUUGGAGUUUGCAUGACAAAUGGGUAAGUCAUUCUCAGUAUUUGGAAACUGUAUCAACAUUUGAAAAUUAUCUCUAAGAAUUGUUAAGGUAACACUACCAAUAUUGUUAUCCCUUCAGCUUAUUCUGGGUCCUCCUCUCCUGGGAAAAUGACAUACAUUGCAUCAUUAUUAUGAAAAACACAAUUACAUCUAGGCAGGAAGUCAUUUUUAUUUUUUAUCUCAAGAACUUAUUUAUAUUGCAAUGUGUAAUUAAGCUGCCAAAUAUUACAACCUGCUAUGAAUUAUAACUUGAAAUUAUAUUUACUUUUUCUUGUAGAUAGGAAAUAGGUAAUUGAGAUAAAGGCUGGCAAGGUAGCUCCGUGGAUAAAAAGCCUUCCCAUGAAAGCCUGGUGACAUGGUUUGGUCCCUGCUACCCUGAUAGAAGAAGUUGACCAUUGAUCGCUACAGUCAACACAGUCGGAGUGAUCUUAUUUCCUAUAAGCAAUGUCCUCAAAUAGUAGAAAAUGGAUACAAUGUUGGAAAGUGAGUCCUCAGUGCAAAUAAGGAAGUCACUAAUGUUCCACAGAGUUUCCAGUGGCUUGCAAUUCAUACUCUGCCAUGAGACGAUCAGUGCACAACCAUCCAAGCAUUUACAGGUGAGUUAAUUAUACAAUAAAUACCAUUAUGAUAUUUAAAUGCAAUCUAAUGAAUUAUCUGGUGGUUGGGAAAUUUAAAUGCUUUUCACUUCUCAAAUGUAGUAAAGAUAGAAAGUAUUCAAUAUCUAGUAGGCAAAGUGAUAGGUGGAUAAAGGCGAGACUCAUAAAAGAUGCUGUGGCUUUUGUACGACGAGGCUCUUUGUUGAUGUUAAGACAACAUUAUUUGUAAGACUCUAGUCACACAACUCUGCUUCUGAACAUUGUGUUAUGAUGAUGGAUGUAAAGCAGCUUUUCUCCCAGAAAAUCAAGAUGCUCUCCAGACUCCAUGUCUUUUGUAAAUAAUUACAUCUCAAAGGCUAGAUAAUUCAAGGUCUAAUUACUCCAAAGUGAAGUAUGAAUUAAAAGCUCACAGGUUCAUCUUCAAAAUUACUACUUUGUGUGUGUGUGUGUGUUUGUGUGUGAGUGUGUGUGUGUGUUUGUG